AUCUUUAAUUAUUUUUUUGAAUAUUUUAUCACGAUUAUUGUAUUUAUUAUUUGAUACUUUAUUGAAUUUUGCUCAUUGAUAACCAUGACAAAAGAAACCUGCCGAUUAUUGUGUUGAUGUAUGUGUGAAAUCAAAAUUUGUUUUUGUCUCAUCUGUGAUGAAAUUUACUGAAUGGGAGAAAAAUAACUGUUAUUUUAGCUUGGCUGUGACACCCAUUAUUAUUUGUGUAAAGCUAAAUAUCUAAAAAAAUAAAUAAAUAGAAGAGCUAGACAAUAGACAUUAUCUGUCUGACAAAUAUCACAUAUUUUGUCCUUGUUUUUACCUUUUCAAGACUAACUAAUGUCAACAUUGAGUUUGCUUGAUUCAACCAGGUUUUUAUAGAGGUCUAACAAUUUGAUCUUUAAAAUAAUAGUAAGGUGAAUAUAUCUCUCUAACCUGGGUCAUGUGACCUUUUCCUCAUUUCCAUCAUUCAUAUACAAGUAUCAAUAUAUUGUCUUAUAUAAUAUGUAGAAAGACAUUUAUUUAAAAAACUCACAAUAUAUUAUUCAGUAAUGAUCAGAUCAGCAGUGAAACAUAUCAGUAUGUACUAUUUUGUGAAAAUUUGUUUGUUUUGUUCACACAUCGUUGACAAUGUAAUGGAAUUUGAUGCGACUGUCAUAUAAGUGAGAGGUUUAGCUGGCUA
rnacentral:lncRNA from 1 species